UAACACAUGCAAGUCGAACGAAGCACCUUUAAUCGAAGAUUGAGAAAGCUCGCUUUUGAUUGAUUCACCUUGAGGUGACUGAGUGGCGGACGGGUGAGUAACGCGUGGGUAACCUACCCUAUACAGGGGGAUAACAGUUGGAAACGACUGCUAAUACCGCAUAAGCGCACGAAGACCGCAUGGUCUAGUGUGAAAAACUCCGGUGGUAUAGGAUGGACCCGCGUCUGAUUAGCUAGUUGGUGAGGUAACGGCUCACCACGGCGACGAUCAGUAGCCGACUUGAGAGGGUGACCGGCCACAUUGGGACUGAGACACGGCCCAAACUCUUACGGGAGGCAGCAGUGGGGAAUAUUGCACAAUGGGCGAAAGCCUGAUGCAGCGACGCCGCGUGAGUGAUGAAGUAUUUCGGUAUGUAAAGCUUUAUCAGCAGGGAAGAAAAUGACGGUACCUGAAUAAGAAGCUCCGGUUAAAUACGUGCCAGCAGCCGCGGUAAUAUGUAUGGAGCAAGCGUUAUCCGGAUUUACUGUGUGUAAAGGGAGCGUAGUCGGCAUACUAAGUCUGAUGUGAUAACUCAGGGCUCAACCUUGAGACUGCAUUGGAAACUGCUAAGCUAGAGUGUCGGAGAGGUAAGCGGAAUUCCUGGUGUAGCAGUGAAAUGCGUAGAUAUCAGGAAGAACUUCGGUGGCGAAGGCGGCUUCCUGGACGAUAAUUGACGCUGAGGCUCGAAAGCGUGGGGAGCGAACAGGAUUA
rnacentral:rRNA from 1 species